AGACAGGGUCUCUCACUGAACAUGGAGCCCGCUAUUUCAGAUAAACUGGGUGGCCAACAGGCCCCAGGUAUCCACCUGUUCCUGCACACCUCUGCCACUGCUGGAGUUACAGAUCCUGAGUGAAAUGCAUUCAUUAGCUCCCUCUUGAACAUGAAGACACAGGCUAAUGGGAGGAAAAGAGCAUCUCAAAAGAUAAUAAGAGACAGAGAUGGAAUUCAAGACUAGGUCAGUCCAAGUCUUUGUUCUUCCCAUGAAACUAUCCUACUUCAAUGAAAGCAUCAGAAAAGCUAGAAAGCAGAUGAAGAGAGGACACCAAUUACUAGAAUUGGAAGGACUGAGUGGCUACCAUCAAAGUGUACACUGUGAAGAAUGGGGUAAUGGAGAAAAAACUUUCACUAACUUCACACAUUUGUACAACAUUAACUCUUGUGAUCUGUGCUGGUCUCUUGUUAAUCACAGCUAAUCCUUCAGAGCCAAUUGAGAUUCUUAAUUCAAAUUUAUCAUACCAAUGGAGUCUUUGCUUCCCCCUGAAAGUUCACAAGCCAGACCUCCAUGUCUGCAUUUUUUUCAACACUGAUAUUUUCCAAUAUUCUACAUAACAGCCCACUAAAUUUUGACCACUCAAUGGCUUUUCCAGCCCAAAGUUCUAAACAUUUUCACAAUUCUCCCCCAAACAUAGUUAAGUUAUUUACAGCAAUACUCCACAUUCCUGGUAUCAGUUUCUGUCCUAGUUUGGUUUCUCUGUUGCUGUGUUAAAACUGACCAAAAUCAAUUUGGAAAGAAAAGGUUUAUCUCAGCUUACAUUGUACACUCCACCAAGAAAGGAAGCCAGGGCAGGAACUCCAGGAAGAACCUGGAGGCAGUAACUGAAGCAGAGGACAUGAAGGAAUGCUGCCUACUAGCUUGUUCCUUGUGGUUUUCCCAGUUUACUUUCUUAUACAACCCAGGGCCACCUGCCCAGGGGUGGCACUGCCUAUAGUGAGCUGGGCCCUUCCACAUGGAUCAUUAAUCAAGAAAUGUCCCACAGACUUGCCUACAGCCCUUCCUGACAGAUGAAAUUCCUCAGUUGAAGUUCCCUCUCCCCAGAUGACACUAGCUUAUGUCAAGUUGGCAAAAAACUAACCAGACUAUAUCUUCAGUUAAACUGGAAUGGUUAUCUGCUGACACAGAAAGUAAGUUAGAAUACCACUAUUAAUCUGCAUGCUACAUGUCAAAAUGAAUUAAAAUGGUUUAUCAGAGUUGUAAAAGAUGCCUGCCUCUUUCAUCUCUUCGGAAAGGAAGUUUGGAAUCUAUUAUUCAAUCUAAGACUUUUAUAUUGCUUUAUAGCCUGGAGCAAAAGCAGUUAUAAAGAUAAGCCCAGAUCAAGGAAGUAUACAGUCAUACUUUGUAUGUCCAAUAUAAGGAAUGAUGGAAGAGUAAAAUCCACAUAGUAAUGUAUGGAUUUCUCACUCAAGUUACAGUGAGUUCAUGAUAUGGAAAGCCCACAGUUCCAAACACAUGGCAAUGAUGGGCAAAAUAUAAAAUGUAAGCUGAAAAGGGCUAACAAUGAUAAAAAAUUUAAAAAAGACCAUAUAAUUAUCUCCAUGUUGAAAUAUCAGGCUUACUGCUCUAGAAGCAAACUGUGGUAGAUAGCAGUUAAUCUCCUGAAAGGCAGAAUGUUCCAAAAAUAUUCUUUGUAAAAUGCUGGUCAUAGGCCAGGUUCAUUGUUUAAAGUGAAGGUAUUUACAAAUUCACUAACCCUUAUCCAUUGGUAUUACAAAAAUAAGGAGGGGGGUGGUAAAAAAGGAAACACCGUCAAGUCAGAAACUUCCAGGGUCUUUAGCUCUGACUAGGUACAGGGUUAUGCAGGUCAGGCUACAAAUAGAGCCUGGCCUCACAACUAGGAGAUAAGUUCAACCAGCAGCUGGCUCUGAGUAGAUCUCCCAAAUGCCAAAGACAAUGGGUUUGAAUCUAACAACUGACUGGUAUUUAGGAGUCUAGUUAGGAGGGGAAAAUGCUGAAUGAGUUGAUUUCUUUCUACCAAGCUUCCACCUUGGGAAGAAGUAAACCUAGAAGAGUUGAAUAACAUUUUUUAGAAAACGCUUUUUAUUACUUUUUAAUGUUUGCAAACUAUUUGUCAAACUAGAUGAUCAUGGGACUUUUUUAAAAGAUCUUGCUAAGCAAACUGAAAGUGGAUCUGAUGAUUAUUGUUAUACUAUGAAUGGUUAGAGAGACUGUGUAAAUGUGGAGAUGGGAGGAAGUUAACAUUUAUUAUGAUAUGGCAUGCUAACUAGAAAAUUUGGCUUUGGUGUCAGGUUUCUAAACUCUGUUCUGUGACCUUAGCUGAGGUGCUUAAUCUCUCUUUACCUGUAUGUUUUCCAUUUAUAGAAUAGGAAUGGGGCUGUUGUUCCCAUUAAAAGCAUUUUGAGCAGUGUUGCUGUUUGAAUAUGAAAUGUGCUCUAUAGGCUUAUGUGUUUGAAAACUUGAUUCUCAGUUGGUUGCACUAUUUGGGAAGGUUGUGGGACCUUUAGGAGGUAGAGCCUUGCUGGAGGAAGUAUGUCACUGGUGGUAGGCUUUGAGGAUUUAUAAGUAACCCCUAAUUUCUGGGUUUUUUUUGUUUCCUGAGUGAGCAGCAGAAUCCUUACAGGCUGUCUAAUCCAAAUUCACAGAACAAACUGAAGCUCAGCAUAGGAUUGGGGAAUGCCUCAGGUCAUUUAGUAGAGAAGGGAGGGAGUAAGGAUUCAGCACAGGGCUCUGUGCUUGAGUGAUUCUCAAACAACCUGGAGUGUAUCAGAAUUCCCUGGAGGGUUUUGCUGGUGUCUAUUCUUAGAGAGUUGGGGGAACUUGGAGGAGUAGAGAGGGGGGGAGUGUAGCAGGACUCUUAAAAGUUCUUAUUAAUAAAAUCAAACCUGUGGCCAGUUAUUGGGGUGAAUGCUGGAAGGUCAGAGAAGCAGAACAAGCCACAGCUAACCUCACCUGGCCAACUUCUCAGCUGGUCUUGUUUCCUCAGACUGGAAGCCUCUGUGUCCUCAUCCAGAAUGAAUCUCAGCUGAACUGUGCUGUUCAAAACCUAAAAGCUUAACCAGCCAAAGGCUGCUAGUUUCUGAUCCUCACGCCUUAUAUACCUUUCUGCUUUCUACCACCACUCCCUGGGAUUAAAGGCUCGCUUUCUGGGAUUAAAGGUGUGUGUCACCAUGCCUGGCUGUUUCCAACGUGGCCAUGAACUCACAGAGAUCCAGAGGGAUUUCUACCUCUGGAGUGCUAGGAUUAAAGGUGUGACUGCCAUCAUUUUCUAGCCUUUGUAUCAAGUGACUUUUCUGUCUCUGACCCCAGAUAAGUUUAUUAGGGUACACAAUAUUUUGGGGAACACAAUACCACCACAGGGGAGGCUGCGGUCAGGAUACAUUGAAUGAGAGAAGAAUAAAUUACAAAGUAAAAAGAGAGGUAGGAGUGGCACAUUUGCCUACAUCCUCAAAUGAUGAUAUAGCUAGCCUGAGGAUCCCUCACAGCAUACCAGAGUUCAUUUAUCAUUUCUUUCUUUUCACCAUGGAGUACAGAGUUUGCAAUCUGUAGAAAUUUGCACACAAAAGUGUAACAGAUAAAGAAAAACAUAUAGCAUUAAGAAGGUGAGAUAAAUGGCCAAUAUUUCCAAGUUGUGAGGGAUUUUCCAGUUUCAAAAAGCUGAUAAAUUUUAUUAAGUAUACUAACAGAUUAUGAGUUAACUAGCUUUUUUCUUAUUUUCUUUUUUCAACAUUAGUUUUACAUUUUUAAUUGUUUGAGAAUUUCAUAGAUGUAUAUGUUUUGAUUAAAUACACCCCCCCAUUCUCUCCCAUCCAAUUCCGCUUGCCCACCACUUUUCCCUCAAACCUUGAUGUGUUCUGUCUUUAAGUCUUUAAAUCCAGAGUCUACUUAGUAUUACUUGUAUGUGCAUGGGUGUAGGACCAUCUACUGGGGCAUGGGUAGCCUCUCAGGGACCAUAUUCCUGAAGAAAAUUGCCAGUGGCCAUGUAAGAGGAACAGCAAGUGGCAAUUGAAGUUCGAGGUGUCAGCCCACCAGUAAGAAAAUCCCUGAUGGGUGAAUCUCAGAUAGGCAAGGCCCCCAAACCACAGACUGCAGAAUGUCUUUUGCUUCUGCUGUGCCUUUACAUGUUCGCUGCUGCCAUCUUUCUCUGGUGUCUGGCAUGGUAUGAUUGGGUGUGGAGAGAUCCCCACUGCCUGUAAUGUAGUGUUUAUCUCAUGGAAAUAUCCCAUUCUACUGGGAAUUUUUACCUGUGGAUUAGUAUGAAGAUAAUUUCUUCUUAAGUUGUACUGUCUAAUUGAUAAUAUUAGUUUAAAUAGUUUUGAUAAUUAAAAAUAAAACAAGGAAGUUUCACACAGCUAGAAUACAUGAGUUUCUAUUGAGAAGCUGUAUAGACUAUGGCUUAGGUUAAUGAUUAAGAAAAACAAUUGAGUCCCUGUGGCCCAGCUAGUUUAAAUUCUUCUAUCCUUAAUGUUGGGAGUUGUGUUCAUAGGUUUCAGAGUGCAUCAUAGCUGAAACAAGGCUUUGAAAAUAACUUAAGA